rnacentral:rRNA from 1 species
GAACCUGCGGAAGGAUCAUUAAUGAAAUGCUAUUUCAUUGGCCCAUCUAUACCCCAUUGUCUACCUACCAUGUUGCUUCCACUGGACAGGUCUAAUCCUUAAGGGAGAUGACCCUCUGGCCUCAUUUCUUGAGGCUGGGGAGUGCCGGUGGAUAGCCAAAAAACCAAAACCUGAAACUGAAAUAUGUGUUUAGUCUGAAAACUCUUGAAUUUUUAUAAAACUUUCAACAACGGAUCUCUAGGCUCUUGCAUCGAUGAAGAACGCAGUGAAAUGCGAUACGUAAUGUGAAUUGCAGAAUCUCGUGAAUCAUUGAAUCUUUGAACGCACAUUGCGCCUUAUGGUAUUCCAUAAGGCAUGCCUGUCUGAGCGUCAGCUCCCCCCCUCUCAAGUCUUAUUAUUAUAUUAGUACUUGGAAUACUUUGGAAGAGCCCCUCUUUUCAAGAGUGGCUUUCCAUAAAGAUAUAGGCGGUAUGGUUGUUUUCCAGACUGAACGUAAUAAUUGAAAAAGUCACGUUUUCUUUGGACUUCUCGUGCUUGCCCUCAAACCCACUCAAUUUUCUUGGGUGACCUCAGAUCAG